UGCCUUCGGGAACUGUGAGACAGGUGCUGCAUGGCUGUCGUCAGCUCGUGUUGUGAAAUGUUGGGUUAAGUCCCGCAACGAGCGCAACCCUUAUCCUUUGUUGCCAGCGAUUAGGUCGGGAACUCAAAGGAGACUGCCAGUGAUAAACUGGAGGAAGGUGGGGAUGACGUCAAGUCAUCAUGGCCCUUACGACCAGGGCUACACACGUGCUACAAUGGCGCAUACAAAGAGAAGCGACCUCGCGAGAGCAAGCGGACCUCAUAAAGUGCGUCGUAGUCCGGAUUGGAGUCUGCAACUCGACUCCAUGAAGUCGGAAUCGCUAGUAAUCGUGGAUCAGAAUGCCACGGUGAAUACGUUCCCGGGCCUUGUACACACCGCCCGUCACACCAUGGGAGUGGGUUGCAAAAGAAGUAGGUAGCUUAACCUUCGGGAGGGCGCUUACCACUUUGUGAUUCAUGACUGGGGUGAAGUCGUAACAAGGUAACCGUAGGGGAACCUGCGGUUGGA
rnacentral:rRNA from 1 species